AUGAUACGGGGCCCACGAAGGAAUGGAAUGUGGAAGGAGCUGUGCACUCUCCUCUCUUCGUAAGCACUGGACGGCCUUGCCCUUCCUUGUAGGCAGGAUAAGUAGUCUCUAAGAUCAACAGAGACCUUGGCAACAGUGGCAACACUCACUGCAACAGUCAGGAAGCAAACCUCCAUCAGACAAGUCCUGGGCUAGAGUUCCUCUUCCCUAUGGAGUAUGUGGCAGCCCCAGGCCCCAGGCCAGGGGCCCCACUUCAAGUCACAGAGAAUGUCGUUCCAGGAGCUGACGACUGGCUGCCAAGAGUUUCUGGACACCCAGCCUGGGCUGCCAGCCUGGAGACAGAAUAUAAACCAGAUCCAGAGUUGAGUGAGCAGCAGUGGUUGCAGAUUUCCAAGGAGCUAGUUGAUCUUCAGAUUGCAACCCAUCACCUUCGUGAACAGCAUGAAGCUGAAGUCUUCGAGCUGAAGAGGGAAGUUCUUCGACUGGAAAGUCGGGUGCUAGAGCUAGAGCUGCAUGGAAAUGGUGACUGCUGGAGACAUAGAGUCCCACCAGCAGUCAAUUCGGGGCACCACCAGGUGCCACUGCAAGAAGAGCCAUCAGGAGGCCAGCAGAAGCUGCAGGAAGAACUAAAGCGGGUCCUGGAGCAUCAUGGAGUCAGGCAGCAGGCACUGGAGACACGAGUGGCAGUCCUAGGCCGGCAGCUACAAGGAGCCCAAGAGGAAGCCAGGGUAGCUGGUCAGCGACUGGCUGCCCAAGCCAUGGUGCUGUCUACCUGUCAGGGUCAGCUCCGGCAGGCAGAGGCUGAAAAUGCUCAGCUGCAGUUGCAGUUGAAGAAGCUGAAUGAGGAGUAUGCUGUCCGACUGCAGUGUUAUGCCAAAGAGACAGUGGAGACUGCCAAUAGCACAGACCAGGCAGCCCUUCAAACAUUCCUGGAGGCCACUCUGCAGGACAUUCGGGCUGCACACCGGAGCCGAGAGCAACAAUUGGCCCAAGCUGCCCGGACCUACCGCAAGCGCCUGGCAGAUCUGAGCUGGAGGCAGGAGUUGCUGCUAACCACAUACAGUAUGGCCGACAUAGGACACUGCUACUUUACCCAGAAAAGGCAUCUGGUGAAGCUUCCAAGGAGGGCCGGUCACAGCCUGUGUGAGUGCCCUCCUGUUGGUGUAGGGGAGGUCCAGGAGUCAGGCUGCAUAGCUUUCAUCCACUCUGGCACCCCAUGCUGCUGGCUGGGAGUCUCCUGUCCCUGCUCUGGGCUAUCUCAGUUUAUAUAGGGGUCACUGGCAACUGUAGAAAAAAAUGGAUGGCUGCUUUGGUAAGCAUCUGGCAAGUGAAACUUGGGUUUGGUGGGAGCUGACAGUCUGGUGACAUGGCCAGCCCUGGCUUUGAGCCUCUACACCUGCUGUAUAGCAGGCAGGCAUGGGGAAGAGGACGCCUAAUAGACCAGAGGGUCCCCAGGGCCCCAAGCCGUGCUAAAAUCACACAGCAGGUUAUUAUGCCUGCCUUGGAGACUGUCCCUCCUGCCCUCCUCCCCUCACAGGACCCUGGAUACUGCAUCCAGGGCCCAAAUCCAACAGAAGCUGCAGGACUUCUCCCAGGACACCCAGGCAGAGCUAGAACGAGAGCGGGCACAGCUGAUGGUCCGGGCCACCAUGGCAGAGCAGCAGCUUUCUGAGCUACAAGAGUAUGU